GGAGUAAUGCGUGACCAACCUGCCCAUGCUCCAGAAGUAGCUCUUGGAAACGGGUGGUAAUGCUGGAUGCUCCAAACUUGACGCAUGUCUUGUUGGGAAAGUGUUAGUGGCAUGGGAUGGGGGUCGCGUCCUAUCAGGCUUGUAGGCGGGGUAAUGGCCCACCUAGGCUUCGACGGGUAGCCGGCCUGAGAGGGCGGACGGCCACAUUGGGACUGAGAUACGGCCCAGACUCCUACGGGAGGCAGCAGCA
rnacentral:rRNA from 1 species